AAAACGACUCUCGGCAACGGAUAUCUCGGCUCUCGCAUCGAUGAAGAACGUAGCAAACUGCGAUACUUGGUGUGAAUUGCAGAAUCCCGUGAACCAUCGAGUCUUUGAACGCAAGUUGCGCCCGAAGCCAUUAGGCUGAGGGCACGUCUGCCUGGGCGUCACGC
rnacentral:rRNA from 2 species